GAAUAUUGGACAAUGGGGGAAACCCUGAUCCAGCGACGCCGCGUGGGUGAAGAAGGCCUGCGGGUUGUAAAGCCCUUUCAGUGGGGAAGAAAAGCCUCGAGUUAACACCUCGGGGUCUUGACGUAACCCAUAGAAGAAGCACCGGCUAACUCUGUGCCAGGAGCCGCGGUAAUACAGAGGGUGCAAGCGUUAAUCGGAAUUACUGGGCGUAAAGCGCGCGUAGGUGGUUGGUUAAGUUGGAUGUGAAAGCCCCGGGCUCAACCUGGGAACUGCAUCCAAAACUGGCCGACUAGAGUACAGUAGAGGGUGGUGGAAUUUCCUGUGUAGCGGUGAAAUGCGUAGAUAUAGGAAGGAACACCAGUGGCGAAGGCGACCACCUGGACUGAUACUGACACUGAGGUGCGAAAGCGUGGGGAGCAAACAGG
rnacentral:rRNA from 1 species